rnacentral:misc_RNA from 1 species
UCUCCGUUGGUGAACCAGCGGAGGGGUCAUUACCGAGUUAUCAACUCCCAAACCCCUGCGAACAUACCCAACGUUGCUUCGGCGGGACCGCCCCGGCGCCCUCGGCGUCCCGGAACCAGGCGCCCGCCGGAGGACCCAAACUCUUGUUUAAACCAUAGUGGCAUAUUCUGAGUCUCACAAGAAAAAUGAAUCAAAACUUUCAACAACGGAUCUCUUGGCUCUG